GGUUUGCCCAGGAAAGAAUGGUGCUGGGGGAAAGAAAUGAUAGGUGUCCAUAACAGAAUCAGAUCAAUAUAAGUUUGGAAAUCUUUUCCUUAACUCCUUAGAACUUUAUUUUUGUUGUUGCUGUUCUCUGGAGUGAAGCAGAUAAGCUUUGCCCUUUGGGAGGGUAGUGAUGUUGGCUAACACUCAUUGAGCGUUUACUCUGGGCUUAUACUAGCUACUUAUGUUGUCUCACGCAAUCCUUGAACAACUUGGUUGCCAUCCAAGUCUGUUUUCAGUCGGGAAUAAAGUUCAUGUUUUGGAGGCA
rnacentral:lncRNA from 1 species